rnacentral:lncRNA from 1 species
GUAUUACCACUGGAGGGAUAAGGCGAUGGCCAGACUGUACCGUGGGGAUCGGAAGUCAUAAAGUGCAGAUGACCGACAGAGUUCCACUGGAACACCGUAUCCUACCGUAUAUGUUUACCUUGUAUCAUGAUAAUUGUUUCAUGCUAAAAUGUCAACAUGAAAUCCUGAGCCAUGCCUGUGAUAUGCUCCCUACCUGUUACCUGUCCAAUGUACUCAUAUCAUGAUACCUGUUUCAUGUUAAUGCUCCAUACCUGUAACAUGCUUAAUUACUCGCACCUGUAAUAAGCUCCAAUCACUCAUGAACUAUACAUGCCAAUGUCUUGAACCAUGAUAACUGUCUCAUGAUAAAUGUUUCAUACCAUGAUACAUGUCUCAAAUUACCCGUACAAUGAUUAUCACUUCAUGGUAACAUGCCAUUGUGUAACCUUGAACCACGCAUAUGAUAUGCCCAACCUACUUGAUUUAUUUGAACUGUUAGAGUGUAUUGGAACCUCACUGGGCUGUGUAGCUCAUCCCACGUUGUGGUUUUCUUUUACAGGGUUCGAGACCAAGGGUGCUCGUGAGUAGUACUAGAUUAUUUUCUUUUGAAAACUUUAAGUUAUAUUAUAACGGAUGGCUAUUGUACCCUUUUCCGUUGGGUUGUAUUUAAGCUUGGAAGCUGCAUAAUUGUAAGUGUGAGAUAUUUGGAGUACUUUAAUUAUGUAUUGAAGUUACUUAAAGUAUUUCGAGCUUUUGAAUGAUGGAUUGUAGUGAGUCCUGGCGAGAGCUGGGCAGGCGUCCCGCGGAUACCCUUUGGUUCGCCUUAGGGAGAAGUGGGGGCGUUACAAUUGGUAUCAGAGCUUAGGCUUCAGAUUUUGUAGUGUAUCCUAGGCUUAAAUGUUUAGGAUGCCGGACUGUGGGACUAUUCUGAAAGUUAAAUGAUUGCUUGUAGUGAUGAAAUUUAGAGCCACUUCACGUGGUCUCUACAAAGGAGCAAGAUAGGGCCAAGUGGUGUUUGGUCCUUACUAUGUGAUUAAGUAAAGACUUAAGUGCCCUUCUAGAAAUGUAAGUUGUGAAUCAUGAAUGUUAUAGGUUGUAAAACCUUUAUCUUGAUAAUUGGAGGGAAUUUGAUAUGUAUGUUGGGUAGGAAUCUCGAAUGUGGUGAUUUACUCUUGGGACCGGCCGGCUCGAGAUGUGAAUUAUCCUAUUUUGGAUUCUUGAACCCGAGUACUUGGGAGUGGAAAGCAACCAUAGGGACUUUAUAUCUCCAUUUGUGGGGAAUAAGAAUGAAUCGAUAUUUCAUGUGAAUGGUUACAGGAAACCAAUAAUUGUUUGGUUAAGAUGGUACAAUAAUUAAGAGUGGAAGAUGGAAAAUAUCGUAACCCAAAAGAUCCUUGUGUUGGGAUUGAAAUCGAGCAUGUUAGGGAACGAGAAUCGUCUAGUUCCAAUUAAUCUAGUGAAUCUCUACUGGUGAUCUUUCAUAGUGAGACGAUGGGAGUAGAACUUAAGAGUUUGCGCCUUGGAGAUGAAUGUACUUGUGAUAAUCACUUGUUUAUUUUUGUUAUUGACUUUGACUUGGCAUGAACUUUACUUGGCCAUAAUUUGUGUUAUGAUUUAAUGAACUCUAGUUUGUGUUUACUUGCAUAGUGAUAAUGUUAUUUGUGAAAGUGUCUUCAUCCUCUUUAAAUGUUGCUACUGGUAUAUGAGUGUAGUUCAAUUUUAACUAAGUGUGAGGGUUAUGCAUGUGCGUAUAGAUUAGUUGUGGACAUGGAAACUAGAGGACAACGAAAGGGACGUCAACCUAGACAACCCCGAAAUGAAAGAGUAGCUAAUGGGUCCGAUAUCGAUCAAAACGUUGAGCUAAGUGCUGGGAGAGGAAAUGACCAGAUAGGACAAGUUUUAACUCGCAUGACGGAUAUCCUAGAGCUCUUGGUAGCUCAACAAGGUCAAGGUGUUGGACAAGGAAACCAACGUGGAAACCAAGAGAUAGGGGAGGAUCGAGCUUUAGAGCGGUUUCAGAAAUUCUCUCCGCCCAAGUUUGCUGGAGGGCCUGAUCCAGAGGUGGCUGAGAAUUGGUUAGAAAAUAUAAGAAAUAUAUUCGAUGCCUUGGAUUACACAGAGGAGAGACAAGUCAUAUUUGCUGUAUUUCAACUUGAAGGAGCAGCCCGAGCAUGGUGGAAUGUUAUAAGAAACAAGUGGGAAAGAGAUCAAACUCCGAGAAUUUGGAUAAAUUUCGUGCGUGAAUUUAAUGAGAAAUUUCUUCCUCCACUUGUCCAAGAAAAGAGAGAAAAUGAUUUUAUAAAGUUUCGUCAAGGAACUUUAAGCGUAGCUGAGUAUGAAACACGCUUUACGAAGUUAUCUACAUAUGUCCCAGAAUUGGUGGCUACUGAACGGAAGAGAAUAAGACGGUUUAUCCAAGGAUUAGAUUUGAAAAUCCAAGAUGCCCUUGCCGCAGCACAGGUUGAAACAUUUAGUGACGCUCUUGAAAAAGCGCAAAGGGUAGAAAGCACAAAAUCUCAACUGAGAGCUUUUCAAAAAAGGAAAAGAGUUACAUCUGACAGUACACUAGGAAAAAAUGGACCACCACUCAAAGUUAGAAAAGAAGUGGAUGAAGUAGGACUGUUACUUCCUGCACCACUCAUGAUAAAGGAACCAAAAGGAACUAUGUCACGAGGGACUUCAGUAGGACAAACACGAUCAAAGAAAACCUCGCAAGCAAGUCAGGUCACAACACCUCGUCCGACUUGUGGAUAUUGUGGAAGGACGAAUCACACUGAAGAAAACUGUUGGCUAAAGGGACGAAAGUGUAUGGGAUGUGGGAGUACCAAUCAUAAAGUUCAUGACUGUCCAAGGAGGUAUCCACGAGAAACUACUGCUCAACAAGGAAAUGGAACUGUUUCUCGACAAGUCAAUGGAAGGAGAAACCGACCAAUGGCAUCUGAAAGAACGCAUGACAUGAACACCCCACACGGUUCAGAGUUGUCUGAGAUUACAGAAGGUAUGAAUUUCGAGGACGAAAUUCUUUUAAGGAGGGGAGGUUGUGAGGACUCGCAAAAUUUACUUAUUUAAUCUCCUAUUUCUAGCUUAUUUAAUUAUUUAUUUGGUCUUUUACUCCGAAUAUUAUUUUCUAAGCUCUUGAGACCUAAUUACAUGGAAAUAUAGUUUCAUUAUAUUUUUAAAAUGACUUGUUUCAAAAAUUAAUUUUUCGGAAGCUCGUUUUGUAAAAAUAGUGAACACGUCUUUGGAAAUCUUGAUCGAUUGAGAGUACAAUAGGUUUGAAAUAUUGGAGACAUGUACAAUGGACCUAAAUUAGGCAUUUUAAUGUUUAAAUACUCAAGUGAUAGUUAUUAGUACUAUCGUUAUAAGAAUUUCUCGGAAGUUUCGCGUUAUUGCGCUUAAAUUGGAGAUACGCGUUUUCACACGCGUAAUUUAAAUUGAGGAACUUUAGACCCUUAUUUUGGGACAAUUAAGAGUGAAUAAUAUUUAUAUGAAUAUAAAUGCAUUAGAAGUUUAGUACACUAGUGAAACAAACGCGAGAGGAAUCGAGCACAAAACGCGCGCGUGCGCGCACUUUUUGCGGUUGACUUUUGUGCACCCAAUCCUUAGUCAUUAAGCUUCCUUUGGAAGCCUCAUUUCAGACCACAAUUUCUCUCUCUUGCUCCCUCAUCUGGCCGAACAACAAAGCAAGAAAAACAGCUCAAGAGUUCUUCCAAUUCCUCCAUCAAAUCUUCACCAAACCUCUUCCAAUUCACUCCAAAUUCGAACUACACUUAGCUUAACACUUGAGGAGUAUUUUGAGCUGCAAAAGGGAGCUGAAAAGCCACGGUUUUCUGGAGCAAAGAGUGACCAAAAUUUCUGAUCUAAUCAUCCAAGAAGGUAGCAAAUCAUCCAACCCAUAGAUCUUAGUUUUUGUAAGAUUUAUUGCACAUAUAAGGUUAUAUAAUCAUGUGGGUAGUCUUGUUUAUGGUAUAAAAUGUGAAAGUGGGCUCUAUGAACUCCCACUCUUGGGUUGUUGCUGAUUUGAUGUUGGAUGAUGAAAUUAAUGGUGGUUUAGUGCUUAUAUUAGUAGAUUAAUGUUGUAUUGUUGGUAGAAAAUCAAAGGAGGUGCUUGGAGCAAAAGUGACCGUUUUACCCCUGCCUUGUCCGACCGUUUUCGUGCCAGAUUUUGAGAUUCUAAUGAAUUGAUUAUGUUGUUUAUCUAUUAUUGUAAGUGUGUACAAAAUUUCAUUGAAAAAUAACAUGAUUUGGUUGGUCAAAUGAGUUGAUUUCCAAAGUUAGCAAAACUGGAAAAUGAAUCCCGUAUUGCCCAGGCAGUCAUUUUGUAACGGCCAUAACUCUUUGUUCCGAUGUCGAAAUCAAGUGCCGUUUGCGGCAUUGGAAACUAGACAUUCCUAGCUUUCUAUCGGUACCAAUUUCACAUUCUGGUUCCACUUGAGUGAGCCACACCAUUCGAUUGAAUAUCACUGUCCUGUUUCGUUGCUCUCCAGGAGACAGGACAGAAAUUGCUUCUUGAUGCUCAAAAACGAGCUAUUUGUGAAUGGAAUUUGAAAAUGGUUUCUUCUGAGAAAAUUCAGAUUUAUGUGAGAGCUUUCUAACGCCAUCAACCACGCUCGAUUCCAAGUUGAAUUGAGUGAGUUGUGGUCAUAUUUCGAAACUGAUGCAGUGAGUAAAAAUCCUCUUUUGACUAGUUGAAUGGCCUAGCUUGACUUGGGACUUGUUGUUUUGAAAACUUUGAUGUCCGACAUCUACCAAACUUUAGAUUAGAUGUUCCUUGGACUUUGUUUCACAAAUAAACCAGAUUUGGGUUGGUUGCUUUGGACAAAAUGUUUAAAAAGGAAAGAAGAGCUAGAAGACAGUUUUACCUUGGGAAAUUUCCUGAACUUUGAUGGUUUAGUUAACUACCUUCCCGUGUGAAUUUUCAAAUGAAAUUUGAUAGAAGAGUAAUCAUCAUAUGGAGGUUUAAUUGUACAAAAUUUGGUAAUAUUCUAAGACCAUUUUGAUAUGCAAAUGAUGUCACAAAAUUCGCUCAUCGAAUCUGGAAAACUUUUCGUUUUCUCUUAGCCAAAUGGUCAAAUCUGAUUUGGAGAGUUUUAUUUCUAGAAUUUGGAUGUCAAUGGUCUUUAAAUUGCUCAGUGGAUGUUUAUGAACUCUUGGUUUCAAUAAUGGAGAGAUUUGAAACUGAUUUCAUGGUACAAAAAGUUUGUAAACGAAAGAAAAGUGAGAAGGUAGUUUAGCCUUGAAACUCUUCAUAAACUUUGGUUGUUUUAAUGACUACCUUACCGUGAGAGUUUUUGUACGAAACUUAGUAGAAAUGUUUUUCACACAUGGAAGAUUUAGUGUACCAAGUUUGAUGUAUUUCUAAUGCCAACUUGAUGACCAAAUGAUAUUUCGAAUCUAGUUUUAAACCUGGAAAAUAGCCCAACAGUCUUAACUUUUUCAGCAACUUGGAGGUACUAUAUCUUGGUGCUCGAAACUCCAUUUCUCGUUCCGCUUGUUUUGUUAUACUCUUGGAUUGCAACACUAAUUGAUUUCCAAAUUUCAAAGGUUAGUUCAAAACAAGUGAAUUUGCCGAAUUUCCAAAAUUGGCCAAAAACCAACCUUGAAACUGUCUUAGUAUUCUACAGCAGUAACUUUGAUCCAACUUUUGAAUACCUUCCAUUUGGGAUCAUGGAAAAGUGUCUUCUAGAAACUUGUAUUACUCGGAAUGUAGUUUCCAAUGGUAUCAAGCGUUCCAAUUUUGGACCUACGUAGUGCAAGAUACGAUUUUUCUAAAAUUGACACCCAAAGCUGAAAUUUGGCAAUUUCUUAGAAAAUGAGAUUUUGGAAACUUGCCUUCUUUUCUCGAUACCGAUUGAACAUUUUGAACUCGAUUUCAUGAAAAAUGUUAGUCUCUCUCUUUAGACUUUCAAACUCUACUCUUGAGCCUCGAUUAUUAAUAAUUAAGGCCCAAUUUAUGAAUUCCCCUUAGAUUGUACAACCUUCUUUGAUAAGUAGGAGUUCUAAGUGAUAGUGCAUAAUAGUUAAUGGUUAUUUGCUCAGGCGCUCAAGGGGACCUUCAAGAGGAACUCGAAGUGGACGCCUAGACACUUGUUUGAGUAUUUACUCUCUUGUUGCAAUAGGUGAGUGUUCCAUAUAGGAAUACGUAAUUGGAAUAAGUCUAUGACAUGCUUAACCCAUGGUCAUUAAGUAUUUACCACACUCAUGCAUAUUUGAAUAAUAUAUACUUGAAUUGCUCGACAUGAAACACCUGAAGUAUGUAUAUUUGAACUAUUCGAUAUGAAACCCUUAAAGAGCAUACUUAUGUGAUUACUUGAAAUACUAGAUAUGAAAUGUUUGGAGAGCAUAUUUACAUGAUGUGUUUAAAUGAUUAAUUAUGCUAUGGAAGCAUAAGUCGGUUGGAGUGAAUCUCCUCGACUCUUACGUGGUGAAAGUGAAAAACGGCCAAUGGCGGCCUAUUGAAAUGACAUAUGUCUACCAAUUAACCGUAAUUACUACCGUUAACCGUUUACCGUUUACCGUUAACCGUGUUUACUUACCGUUUUCUAAUCUAUUUGGUUACUUGCUUACUUGGUUAUCUGCUUACGUGAUCACCAACUUACUUGGUUACUUGACCACCUGAUUACUUGAUUAUCAUGAAUCACAUGUUAUAUGAAGCUGUCCAUCAUUAUUAGGCGAGUGUGUACUUUACCUCACUCGACCUACUCAAAUGAUGAAUUUUACCUUUUGUCGAAUUACUUGGUUACCUGUGCAUGUUGUAAGCUCUAAGCUGAACUUGGGCCCUGCCCUUGGUUACUGACCUACUCGAGCCAGGACUGGGCUCGGUCGGGUAGGUUGGAACCCUGGGCCACCGUUUCGGUAUACUCGAGUAUUACCACUGGAGGGAUAAGGCGAUGGCCAGACUGUACCGUGGGGAUCGGAAGUCAUAAAGUGCAGAUGACCGACAGAGUUCCACUGGAACACCGUAUCCUACCGUAUAUGUUUACCUUGUAUCAUGAUAAUUGUUUCAUGCUAAAAUGUCAACAUGAAAUCCUGAGCCAUGCCUGUGAUAUGCUCCCUACCUGUUACCUGUCCAAUGUACUCAUAUCAUGAUACCUGUUUCAUGUUAAUGCUCCAUACCUGUAACAUGCUUAAUUACUCGCACCUGUAAUAAGCUCCAAUCACUCAUGAACUAUACAUGCCAAUGUCUUGAACCAUGAUAACUGUCUCAUGAUAAAUGUUUCAUACCAUGAUACAUGUCUCAAAUUACCCGUACAAUGAUUAUCACUUCAUGGUAACAUGCCAUUGUGUAACCUUGAACCAUGCAUAUGAUAUGCCCAACCUACUUGAUUUAUUUGAACUGU